GACGAACGCUGGCGGCGUGCUUAACACAUGCAAGUCGAACGGAAAGGCCCUGCUUUUGUGGGGUGCUCGAGUGGCGAACGGGUGAGUAACACGUGAGUAACCUGCCCUUGACUUUGGGAUAACUUCAGGAAACUGGGGCUAAUACCGGAUAGGAGCUCCUGCUGCAUGGUGGGGGUUGGAAAGUUUCGGCGGUUGGGGAUGGACUCGCGGCUUAUCAGCUUGUUGGUGGGGUAGUGGCUUACCAAGGCUUUGACGGGUAGCCGGCCUGAGAGGGUGACCGGCCACAUUGGGACUGAGAUACGGCCCAGACUCCUACGGGAGGCAGCAGUGGGGAAUAUUGCACAAUGGGCGGAAGCCUGAUGCAGCAACGCCGCGUGCGGGAUGACGGCCUUCGGGUUGUAAACCGCUUUCGCCUGUGGCGAAGCGUGAGUGACGGUAAUGGGUAAUGAAGCACCGGCUAACUACGUG
rnacentral:rRNA from 1 species